AUUGAACGCUGGCGGCAGGCUUAACACAUGCAAGUCGAGCGGGGUGAUGGUGCUUGCACUAUCACUUAGCGGCGGACGGGUGAGUAAUGCUUAGGAAUCUGCCUAUUAGUGGGGGACAACAUCUCGAAAGGGAUGCUAAUACCGCAUACGUCCUACGGGAGAAAGCAGGGGAUCACUUGUGACCUUGCGCUAAUAGAUGAGCCUAAGUCGGAUUAGCUAGUUGGUGGGGUAAAGGCCUACCAAGGCGACGAUCUGUAGCGGGUCUGAGAGGAUGAUCCGCCACACUGGGACUGAGACACGGCCCAGACUCCUACGGGAGGCAGCAGUGGGGAAUAUUGGACAAUGGGGGGGACCCUGAUCCAGCCAUGCCGCGUGUGUGAAGAAGGCCUUAUGGUUGUAAAGCACUUUAAGCGAGGAGGAGGCUCUUUUGGUUAAUACCCAAGAUGAGUGGACGUUACUCGCAGAAUAGCACCGGCUAACUCUGUGCCAGCCGCCGCAGUAA
rnacentral:rRNA from 1 species